rnacentral:rRNA from 1 species
CUCUGGUUCGGGACAACGCCGGGAAACUGGCGCUAAUACCGGGUGUGUCUGCGAGGCCAUCAGGCUUCGUCGAGAAAGGCUCGCAAGGGUCGCCAGGGGACGGGUCCGCGUCCCAUCAGCUAGUUGGUGAGGUAAUGGCUCACCAAGGCGAAGACGGGUAGCUGGUCUGAGAGGAUGAUCAGCCACACUGGAACUGAGACACGGUCCAGACUCCUACGGGAGGCAGCAGUGGGAAUAUUGCGCAAUGGGCGAAAGCCUGACGCAGCCACGCCGCGUGAGCGAUGAAGGUCUUAGGAUCGUAAAGCUCUGUGGAGGGAGAAGAAGAAAGCCGGUGAAGAGCCGGCCUUGACGGUAUCCCUUUAGCAAGCACCGGCUAACUCCGUGCCAGCAGCCGCGGUAA